CUCGAACUCCUGACCUCAGCUGAUCCACCCACCUCAGCCUCUCAAAGUGCUGGGGUUACAGGCGUGAGCCACCGCGCCCGGCUGCACCUACUCUUAGAGAAUUCUCAGGCCCCACGCCUUACCCCAACUUCUGUUACCAGUGGUGAAUCCAAUGGGUCUGCAGCAAACUUGAUGCUUGCCUUCUCAAAGACAGAACUCAGCUGAGGGGCAGAGGUGGUUUUAAGUGGUUUUAAGGCACAGGGAGAGACCAAGGCAAGUUUUAGAGCAGGAGUGAGAGUUUAUUAAAAAGUUUUAGAGCAGGAACAAAAGGAAGUACACUACACUUGGGUCAGGCAGGCAACUUGAGAGAUCUAAGUGCCCUGCCUGACCCUUAACUUGGGGUUUUAUGUAUUUGGCAUAGUUCUGGGAUUUACGUCUCAUCUCCCCUGAUUCUUCCCUUGCAGCAGGCUGUCCGCGUAUGUGGUGACCUGCCAGCACUUGGAAGGGGUCGCAUGCACAGUGUGAUUACUGAAGUUGCGCGCAUGCUCACUUGAGGCAUUUUUCCCCUUACCAGUCGUGCGUUCCCAGAGGAAGGUAGGUCAUAUACUGGUUAAAUUCCGCCAUUUUGCCUCUUGGUGCGCAUGCUCCAGGCUGCUUGCCCAGCUCCUGAGAUCUUAUCGGGAAGCGGCUGAUCACCAGAUCAGGGUGUUUUGUAUCUAUUGAGAGACUGUCCUUGCUUGGAGCUGGCUGCAACCAAUUAUUAUUUUACAGAGACAGUUUAACAACCACCUGACCAUCACCUGAUGGUAGCCUGACAUUCCUGUGGGGGCCCUCACCUGUCCUGCUCAUGUUUGCCUAGCUCCCUACUCUAACAUUUCCACUCUGUGGACCCCAGGUUGAGAUCUUCUGCAGGGAAGACUGUCCUCAAAUAGCCUGCUGGGGAGACAUCUCCUUCCCGUUUACCUUUCCAUUUGCCCUUGCGGUGUUAGGCAAAGGCUGAAGCUGGCCUCUGUGGCAGAGGGUUUCUUCCCAACACGCCAAUGACGCUGGUGGAGAGUCUUAAAAACAGCUGUGCUGGGGAGAGUUCUUGGUGUGUACCUUUCAGAGACCUCCUCCUUAAGACUCUCAAAGACUGAGUCAGGCCAGUGGGAGCCUGGCAGCAAUUCUUAGGGGACAGUGACAGCUUUUUGAGGAGGACUAAUUGGCUUCUAGGGCUGGAGGCCACUUGGGUCUGACAGACUGCCCUGCUGCCAUCCCUCCAGGGCACCCCCCACUCCCUUGCCUCAGGGCCUUCCUGCACUUCUUCCUUUUGUCCUCAAUGUUCUUCACCCCACCUUUUCCACUGGUACCCUCUGCCUAUGGUCAAGGCUUUGGUGAGACCCACUUUCCUCUUAGACCUUCCUGGAUCCCCCAAAGUCUGUGUUGGAAGCCCCUCCCAUGUGCCCUUGUUUGAGCUUUUAAUUUUCCACCAUGACGCUUGUCACACUGCUUUGUAAUUGGCUCUCUGUUAGUCUGCAUCUCUACUGGGUUGUACCUUCCAGGAGGACAGCUGCCAUGUGACUCUUGUAAUCUUCCCACCGCCAACACCCAGCACAGCGUCAGGAACACAGAGCAUGAUGAGCACAAGCUUGUUGAGCAAACAGACAAAUAACUGGAUGCUUCUGUGCAGAGUUUCUCAACCUGGCCAUUAUUGGCAUUUGGGACUUGAUCAUGCUUGGUCGUGGGAGACGGUUCUGUGCCUGUAGGAUGUUUAGGAGCAUGCUUGGUUUCUACCCACCAGAUGCCGGGAGCACACCCACCCAGCUGUGACAACCAAAAAUGUCUCCAGACACCAUUCCAAAACCAGCGGGAGACAAAAUCGCCCGACAGUCGUUGCUUUAGUGAGUGAAUGUUGACCUAAGCGUCACUUCGCCUGUCUUGAGUCUAGGUCGGGGAGUGGGUUCAGUUAGCCAAUCAGAGAACGCUGAUGGGGCGACCAGUAUAUGCUCAUGAAAUGGGUGGCUGACCUCUUGGGGUCAGAAGAGGGAAAAGUUUUACUGUGUGUUGGCUAAGGACCAUUUUAAGUCCUUCAGUGACCGAUUACCACAUGAGAACACAAGAGGGCGCUCUAACUAAUGAGUUCCGCGGCCGAGAAAACUCCUGGAGUGGGUGCUCCUGGGAUGCUUCAGGUUUAGACACCGGGGUUACGGCAGCUGCCGAGGAAGGCUAAAGCCAGCGUCCUGGAUUCAGACAGACCUUUUAGCCAUUAAAUCCACUAAGAAAGAUCCCUGCGCAUGAAGUUUCCUCCUCGGAAAUAUAGGCAGAAGGGAAAGUAAUUUUAAACUCAUGUGUGCUCCACAGGCCGGGGGCGGUGGCUCAUGCCUGUGGAGCACACAUGAGGACAAGGCGGGCAGAUCACCAAAGGUCAGGCAUUCGAGAUCAGCCUGGCCAACGUGGUGAAACCCCAUCUCUACUAAAAAUACAAAAAUUAGCCAGGCGUGGUGACAUGUGCCUGUAAUCCCAGCUACUCGGGAGGCUGAGACAGGAGAACUGCUUGAACCCAGGAGGCGGAGGUUGCAGUGAGCAGAGGUUGCGCCGCUGCAGUCCAGCCCGGGCAACAAGAGCGAAUCUCCGUCUCAAAACAACAAAACAAAAACAUAGACCUGCUCGGUUCUCUCUGUGACUUCAGAGGCCCAAGGAGUCCUCAGCACUAUAGAUGCAUGUGGCCCCUCAGAAGACAACAUUUCACAGAUCUGCAAAGAGCAAAGGUCAAAUUUAUUUAAUACAACAUCCACGAGGGUCCCUGCAGCUGUGUCACUGAGGCAAACAGGAAAAGUGAUUUUGGCUAGGCGUGGUUCUCAUCUGUGAAAUUCCACAGCGCAAUGACAGCAGCCUCUCUCCCACCCACUCAAGACACUGUCAGGAAUGUCUUAAGACCUCAGGAGACCACUUCUUUAGCAAGCAAUUUUGUUUUUUGUUUUUUUUGAGAUGGAUUCUCACUCUGUCACUCAGGCUGGAGUGCAGUGGCGCGAUCUCCGCUCACUACAACCUCCGUUUCCUGGGUUCAAGCGAUAAUCUCACCUCAGCCUCUUGAGUAGCUGAUACUACAGGCAUGCGCCACCACGCCCGGCUAAUUCUUGUAUUUUUAGUAGAGACAGGGUUUCAUCAGGCUGGUCUCAAACUCCUGACCUCAGGUGAUCCGCCCACCUCAGCCUCCUGAAGUGCUGGGAUUACAGGCGUGAGCCACCUUGCCUGCCCUGGCAAGGAAUACAUUUUUAAAAAUUAGUAAGAAACAUACACAUUUCAAGUUUUCAAUUAAGAAUAAUAUUUGCUGAUGGCACCAUCUUCCUGUCUUUCAGCCUUCAGCAUGGUAGAGGAAAAGAGAAAGAGUGUAGACAAAAACAGUUGAAGAACAUCUGUGCUUGUUCCACCUUCAUUUUCUGUUUUGUGCGUUGCCUGAAUGAACGGUGUCUUCAGGUUGGUAUUUCACAGGCGGUGCUCCCAAGUAGUCUGGUUUUCCCAUUUGUGGAGGGCGAGGUCAUAGAGGGGACAGGGGGAGGCUGUCUGGUCAGCACUGUGUAUUUCCAAAGAACAAGGACUAGCCAAAACUACAAGCCUUUGAAGGACCAAAGGAAAAGAGAAAAAACCAGCCUCUAACCAGGCCAUGCGCUAGAAAUGAUUGAGUAUAAAAAAGAAAAUUGGUUUCUGUGUAUGAGGGUGCAUGGAAAAGGUCUUUAUCUCUGCACAAAACAAAAUAUUCAAGUUUCAGAAUAUCCCAAUGGCCUUGCCCUGGAUCUCCUCUUGUGCUCUUCCAAUUUCCAAGGAUGUUCCAACUUGGUGGAAGGAGGGUAUGUGGGAAAUUCAACAGCCCCUCUGUAUCUCUUUCUACCCAACAUUAACUUAGCAGGAUGGAUUUAAGAACCGGCAGCUUAGCCUGAGGAAUUGCUGUGUUCUGUGGGAGCAGGGCAGGUUCAUAAAUAAGUGCACAGAGGUCUUGAAAUACAGGGAUUAUCUGUUCUUCUCGGAACAUGGAUGUCCUUCCAGGGAUGUGCAUCUGGCCUUGCUGUCUAAGUUCCAUCAAGGGAGCCUUCCGUUCUCUGUAGCGACAAGAAACAAGGCAAGUUAUGAUCACACCUCUCAAGAUUGAAGAUUGCCCUGGUGGAGAGAAAUGCAAAAUGACAGCACUUCUCAAAGAAAAUGCAAAGCAGGGCUGUCACACACUGGUCCCCCACCCUGCAGGGUUCUCUCUGUGACUUCAGAGGCCCAAGGAGUCCUCAGCACUACAGAUACACGUGGCCCCUCAGAAGACAACAUUUCACAGAUCUGCAAAGAAUAAAGGUCAAAUUUACUUAAUACAACACCCACCAGGGUUCCUGCAGCUGUGUCACUGAGGCAAACAGGGAAAGUAAUUUUGGUUAGGUGUGGUUCUCACCUCUGAAAUUCCACAGCACAAUGACUGCAGCCUCUCUCCCACCCACUCAAGACAUUGUCAGGAACGUCUUAAGACCUCAGGAGACCACUUCUUUAGCAAGCAAUUUUUUUUAGAUGGAUUCUCACUCUGUCACUCAGGCUGGAGUGCAGUGGCGCGGUCUCUGCUCACUACACCCUCCCUCUCCUGGCUCCUGCCCGUAUGUAUUUCUCCUUCUCUCCAUGCCUGCUCUGUAGGGACCAUAGCCUCUGUCCCUGCAUACAUGUUGGACAUCAAUCACAUCAGUCCACCAAGUAACUUCAUCAAGCACCCAUGUACGCCCAGCACAGCGUCCCAAGGGUGCCCCACUUACCCACAGAAGAAGAAAGGCAACUUUGUAAGAGAUCUGACUUCUAGCUCCAGUUCUGUCUCUAGCUAACGUGAGAUGUACCCGUUUGAGGCCUGUUUUUUAAUUUUGAAAAUGAAGGACUGAACUUAGAUGGUCCAACUGAAAUGUUUUAAAAUGAUAUGAUUCUACCUUAAAAAGAGAAUGAAAUUCUGAUAUAUUUUCAACACAGGAAAACCUUGAAAACGUUAUGCUAAAUGAAAUAAGGCAGACAUGAAAGGACAAAUAUAUGAUUCCACUUAUGUGAUGUACCUCAAAUAGUCAAAUUCAUAGAGACAGAAAGUAGACAGUGGUUGCUAGGGGUUGCUGGAGGGGCAAUGGGGAGUUAGUGUUUAAUGGGUACAGUGUUUCAGUGGCUGCUCUGCCUAUGGAGUAGCCAUUCUUUUGUUUCUUUACUUCUCUAAUAAACUUGCUUUCACUUAAAAAGAAAAAGCUCUGGAGAUGGAUAGUGGUGGUGGUUGCACAGCAAUGUGAACGGACCUAAUGCAACUGAAUUAUACACUUUAAAAUGGUUAAGUAUACACUGGAAAAUGGUGAAUUUGCCGGGCGGGCGCAGUGGCUCACGCCUGUAAUCCCAACACUUUGGGAGGCCGAGGCGGGUG
rnacentral:lncRNA from 1 species